rnacentral:lncRNA from 1 species
UAAUAAUAAUAAUAAUAGUAUAUAAUAAUAAUAAGUAAAAAAAAACAAAAAAAAUAUAGAAAAAUAACAUAAAAACAAAAAAAAAACAAAAAGAGAAAGAUGGAGCAAAAUGCUGGAUUGAGGGAUAAGAUUUUUUUAAAAUUUUGAGCCCCCCACUCUUGUGCCGAUACGUGGAAGGGGGAGAAAAAACUACACAACUAAAACCGGCUCUUCUUCUUUCACACACUCCAUCUGUAAUAGUAAAGAAAC